rnacentral:tRNA from 1 species
AUUGAAAGGGGUGUAGCGCAGUUCGGUAGCGCGUUUGUUUUGGGUACAAAAUGUCACGGGUUCAAAUCCUGUCAUCCCUA